UGGAUACUCUUAUGCAGACUUUACAAAUGAACAAACUGAAGUUUAGAGAUUCUAAAUAUUCUAAAUAAAUAGGUCAUAUAGGCAUAUCAUUAUACUGUCUAUUGCUCAAUGCCCUUGACAGUGCACAGUUCCUUGGCUAAAAGUAUGUGGAAGCAGGGAAAAAUGAAUCCAGCAAUUACUAUAUUUAGCUGCUUUUACAAAUGCCUCUUGGUUAAAAAAAAAAAAAAAAAGACAUUCAUUGGUAGACAUUACCACAUUGCCAAGUCACUCAUAAAUCUAAGUACGAAAGUCAGUAAAAAAGGAUGAUGUUAUCUGAUUCACUGAAAGGGAAAUAAGCUGAGAUCUGCUGCGUUAGGACAAAGGCCAGCUGGGCUUUAUGAGAAUUCAGAUGGCAAGGAACAAGCUUUUUAUGGCAAUGACAGAGGGAGAAGGGAACAAUAUUAUAAGGAAGAAUCUUUGUGGUUCAAACAGAUUAUGUGGUUUAUUAUUUUCAUUUAGAUUAGGGAAAAAAUCAGUGGGCACAGAAUAAAUAGCAACUGCCUCUUUCCCCCUCCCCAGCAAGCAGAAUAUUGAUUUCCUCUUUGAGGAAAGGACACAUUAAAAAGAAUACUCUUGAGAUGAUAAAUAUGCUAAUUAAUGUGAUCUAAUCCCUAUACAUUAUGUAUAUGGAAACACCACUAUGUACCCCAUGAAUGUGUACAAUUAUUGUCAAUUUAAAAAUACAAUUUUAAAAACACUCAUUUUAUUUUUUUAAAUUAAUUGUUCUUAUUUUAAAAAUUAUUAUUUUUUAGGGAUGGGAUCUCACUGCAUUGCUCAGGCUGGUCUCAAACUCCUGGGCUCAAGCAAUCUUCCUGCCUUAGCUUCCCAAAGUUCUGGGAUUACAGGCAUGAGCCACCACUCCCAGCCAAAAAAAAAAAUACUCAUUUAAAGCUGCACAAGUUUGAUGGCACAAGUCUGUAUAACUGGACCUGUGCCUUUAUAAAACCUCAAACACUGCAAAGGUUCAUGAAACAAUGUAUAUCUAUUCUUCUUAUUCACUGUCAUCAAUGCUGACCAGGGAAAAUUGCACAGGUGCACGUGUGUGUGUGUGUGUGUAGGGCUAGUGAAGCAGGCAACUACCAGAGAUACAUUAUUAAAAAGCUAACAUUUAUUGGCCAGGCGCGGUGGCUUACGUCUGUAAUCCCAGCACUCUCACGGGUGGUGCCUCCCCGGCAAUGGGGGUCCCAAGAUCCAGGGGGGGAAAAGGGGAUGGCUCUCAGCCACCACAAAAUGGGGGGCCUUUAUGUUCAGGUUUUGCCCAAGAGUCAGCUUAUUUGCUUCUUGUACUAGCAGGGCAGUUGCUGCCAAGGCCUCAAACAGGGGAGCCAUCCUUCAGAAACCCUGUCUAGUUGUUCAGAGACGUAGGCCACCGGCCUCAGCCAGGGCCCCACAGUUUGGGUUAAAAGUCCAGCUGCCAUCUUUUCUCUCUCUAACGCAUACAAUGGAAAAGGCUUUGUCAGAUCGGGUAGCCCCAGGGCUGGGGCUGCCAGAAGUUUUUCCUUUAAGUCAUGAAAGACUUGCUGUUCUUGGAUCCCCAUUCCAAAGGUUCCGGUCCCCGCCCCCUUUGUGACCUCAUACAAAGGCUUGGCUAAUACUGCAAAGUUUGGGAUCCACAGUCUACAAAACCCCACAUCCCCUGAGAAUUCUCUCGCCUGCCUUAGGCACUUAGGCUCCGGGAGAUUGCAAAUAACCUGCUUUCUUUCUGUUCCCGGGCUGCGUUCGGACUCCUGUCAGAUAGUAAAUCCUAAGUGGCGUCGGACCCCUGUCAGAGAGUAAAUCUCAAGUAAGGUACCUGCCAUCGGCAGAUUUGAGCUUUCUUCUUGGACACCUAAUACCCACAGUCCUCCAGGCUCCGGUAGACUGCAAAUGACCUGCUUUCUUUCUGUUCCCGGGCUGCGUUUGGACCCCUGUCGGAUAGUAAAUCCCAAGUAAGGUACCUGCCCUCGGCAGAUUUGAGCUUUCUUCUUGGACACCUAAUACCCACAGUCCCCCAGGAAUGGAACAGAUAAGAAGAUACUGAAAUUGGACGGUGCUGCCGUGCGGCUGCCGCAGGACACCUUUAAUAUCCCUGUUUCUCAGGCUGUAGAUGAAGGGGUUCAGCAUGGAGGUGAUCACCGUGUACAUCACUGAGGCCACUGCAGCCUUUCUCGGGGAAGAUGACACAUCUGAACUGAGGUACCCUCCAAAGCCUGUUCCGUAAAAUCAGCAAACAACUGACAGGAUAACUUCAGGAAGUGGGUAUUAAUUCUCACGGUAUAAGUGAAGACAUUAAGCACCAGAGUUUAAGUAGCUUGAUCCACUGAAAGAGAUUCAACUGUGUGGAACCUAUGCCGUGGAGAAUUGCUUUCUGCCAUUGUUAUCGUCCAGCAGUUGCCGAAUAGCUCUGACCUGAGCAAAGCAGUGAAACGCGGUGCUGUUGAGUGGGUUGCCACUGCACCUUUUUCAACUACUCUAGUCUUGUGGAGAAAAUACCCCUUCUAAAUUUUUUCUUCAUUGAAUACUCUCCCUCAGCUCCAGAGUACCAUAUAGAGUUUUCUUGUAUUUUAGAGUUACUGUUUUAUCAAAGUUUACCAGUCUUUUGUAUUACAUUUCUCCUGUCUAAAUCGACUGUGUGGUUUCUACUCAUUAUGGAUAUAGAUUGAUACAAACUCAAUAAAUAUUUUUGAAUGAAUAACUCCACAGUCCAAGUUAUU
rnacentral:lncRNA from 1 species